AGGAGUGUGAUGUAAUUGGCAGCAUGACGGGUUCCAACUCCGUUUGUCAGGGUUCAAAUCCUUGCACUCCUG
rnacentral:tRNA from 1 species